GAUGAACGCUGGCGGCGUGCCUAAUACAUGCAAGUCGAGCGAAUGGAUUAAGAGCUUGCUCUUAUGAAGUUAGCGGCGGACGGGUGAGUAACACGUGGGUAACCUGCCCAUAAGACUGGGAUAACUCCGGGAAACCGGGGCUAAUACCGGAUAACAUUUUGAACCGCAUGGUUCGAAAUUGAAAGGCGGCUUCGGCUGUCACUUAUGGAUGUACCCGCGUCGCAUUAGCUAGUUGGUGAGGUAACGGCUCACCAAGGCAACGUUGCGUAGCCGACCUGAGAGGGUGAUCGGCCACACUGAGACUGAGACACGGCCCAGACUCCUACGGGAGGCAGCAGUAGGGAAUCUUCCGCAAUGGACGAAAGUCUGACGGAGCAACGCCGCGUGAGUGAUGAAGGCUUUCGGGUCGUAAAACUCUGUUGUUAGGGAAGAACAAGUGCUAGUUGAAUAAGCUGACACCUUGACGGUACCUAACCAGAAAGCCACGGCUAACUACGUGCCAGCAGCCGCCGUAA
rnacentral:rRNA from 1 species